GACGAACGCUGGCGGCGUGCUUAACACAUGCAAGUCGAGCGGAGCGGCGAACGGGUGAGUAAAGCGCGAGUAACUGCCCCCCUCCCUGGGAUAACAGUUGGAAACGGCUGCUAAUACCGGAUAGUGGGGGAUGACUCGCGUCCUAUCAGCUUGUUGGGGGGGUAGUGGCCUACCAAGGGGACGAGGGGUAGCCGGCCUGAGAGGGGGACCAGCCACAUUGGGCUGAGGUACGGCCCAGACGCCUACGGGAGGCAGCGGUGGGGAGUAUUGCACAAUGGGGCAAACCGUGUUGCAGCAGCGCCGCGUGCGGAAUGACGGCCUUCGGGUUGUGAACCGCUUUCAGCCAUGACGCGGUAGUGGCAGAAGAAGCACCGGCUAACUACGUGCCAGCCGCCGCGGUAAUUC
rnacentral:rRNA from 1 species